AGAGUUUGAUCCUGGCUCAGGAUGAACGUUGGCGGUGUGCCUAAUACAUGCAAGUCGAACGGAGUUAAUAGCAAUAUUGACUUAGUGGCGAACGGGUGAGUAACGCGUUGGUGAUCUGCCUUGAAGUGUGGAAUAACGCUCCGAAAGGAGCGCUAAUACCGCAUGUGCUCUCAAUUUUUAGAAACUUGAGAGGAAAGGAUUUAUUCGCUUCGAGAGGAGCCUGCGUCCCAUCAGCUGGUUGGUAGGGUAAAGGCCUACCAAGGCAAUGACGGGUAGGGGACCUGAGAGGGUGGCCCCCCACAAUGGAACUGAAACACGGUCCAUACACCUACGGGUGGCAGCAGUAGGGAAUAUUAGAAAUGGACGAAAGUCUGAUCUAGCAACACCGCGUGUGCGAAGAAGGCCUUCGGGUCGUAAAGCACUUUUUGGAAGGAAUAGGAAGGAAUGUACUUCCAGAAUAAGUCUCGGCUAACUACGUGCCAGCAGCCGCGGUAACACGUAGGAGGCAAACGUUAUCCGGAUUUACUGGGCGUAAAGCGCGUGUAGGUGGUUCUGUAAGUAGGGCGUGAAAGCUCCCGGCUCAACUGGGAGAUGCCGUUCUAAACUGCAGAGCUAGAGGAUGGUAGAGGGAGGUGGAAUUCCAGGCGUAGCGGUGGAAUGCGCAGAUAUCUGGAGGAACACCAGUGGCGAAGGCGGCCUCCUGGACCAUUCCUGACACUCAGACGCGAAAGCUAGGGUAGCAAACGGGAUUAGAGACCCCGGUAGUCCUAGCCCUAAACGAUGUAGACUAGGCGUCGGUGGUUUAAUCACCAUCGGUGUCCAAGCAAACGCGAUAAGUCUACCGCCUGGGGACUACGGCCGCAAGGUUAAAACUCAAAUGAAUUGACGG
rnacentral:rRNA from 1 species